GGAAAAGCAAGAUGGGAACGUGAUUACCUCUGUUUGGAGGAGAGAAGCCCUUCAGCAAGGCCAAAUCAAAGCAGGAAAUUGUCUUGGAGUUGUUAUUAACUCUGAGUUUAUUAGCAUAUUAGCAACUCACAAGAGACAUGAGUCAAACCUGUCAGGAUAACAGGAUACAAUUCCUUUUGAAGAAUUCCACUGUCAGUAUUAUAAUCAGAAUUUAUUGGGCAAUAUGCUGACUACUGGGCCAGAUGAAGACAUACAUUACUCCGAGAGCAAAACACUCAUUCAUAUACAGCAGUGUCUUCUCCUGAGGAUCACCACAGAUGGAGAAAUGACGGACAGGAAUUCACCACAGAGGAAAAAAAAGCCUGACUUCAUAUUUGAUGUAUGCAUUGUUCAAGGCGUGG